rnacentral:rRNA from 1 species
CCUACGGGGGGCAGCAGUGGGGAAUUUUGGACAAUGGGCGCAAGCCUGAUCCAGCCAUGCCGCGUGUCUGAAGAAGGCCUUCGGGUUGUAAAGGACUUUUGUCAGGGAAGAAAAGGGCGGGGUUAAUACCCCUGUCUGAUGACGGUACCUGAAGAAUAAGCACCGGCUAACUACGUGCCAGCAGCCGCGGUAAUACGUAGGGUGCGAGCGUUAAUCGGAAUUACUGGGCGUAAAGCGGGCGCAGACGGUUACUUAAGCAGGAUGUGAAAUCCCCGGGCUCAACCUGGGAACUGCGUUCUGAACUGGGUGACUAGAGUGUGUCAGAGGGAGGUAGAAUUCCACGUGUAGCAGUGAAAUGCGUAGAGAUGUGGAGGAAUACCGAUGGCGAAGGCAGCCUCCUGGGAUAACACUGACGUUCAUGCCCGAAAGCGUGGGUAGCA